rnacentral:rRNA from 1 species
AGCGAACGCUGGCGGCAGGCUUAACACAUGCAAGUCGAGCGGGCACUUCGGUGUCAGCGGCAGACGGGUGAGUAACACGUGGGAACGUACCCUUUGGUUCGGAAUAACGCUGGGAAACUAGCGCUAAUACCGGAUACGCCCUUUUGGGGAAAGGCUUGCUGCCGAAGGAUCGGCCCGCGGCUGAUUAGCUAGUUGGUGGGGUAAUGGCUUACCAAGGCGACGAUCAGUAGCUGGUCUGAGAGGAUGAUCGGCGACACUGGGACUGAGAUAGGGCCCAGACUCCAACGGGAGGCAACGGUGGAGAAUAUGGCAAAAUGGGCGGCAGCCUGAUGCAGCAACGCCGGGUGCGGGAUGACGGACGUCGGGUUGGAAACCGCUUUCGCCUGUAACGAAGCGGGAGUGACGGUAAUGGAUAAAGAAGCACCGGCUAACUACGUG